rnacentral:rRNA from 1 species
UACGUAGGGUGCGAGCGUUGUCCGGAAUUAUUGGGCGUAAAGAGCUUGUAGGCGGUUUGUCGCGUCUGCCGUGAAAAUCCGGGGCUCAACCCCGGACUUGCGGUGGGUACGGGCAGACUAGAGUGUGGUAGGGGAGACUGGAAUUCCUGGUGUAGCGGUGAAAUGCGCAGAUAUCAGGAGGAACACCGAUGGCGAAGGCAGGUCUCUGGGCCACUACUGACGCUGAGAAGCGAAAGCGUGGGGAGCAAACGGG